AGAAUCAACGCUGGCGGCGUGCCUAACACAUGCAAGUCGAACGAGAAAGGGGCUUCGGCCCUGAGUAUAGUGGCGCACGGGUGAGUAACAUGUGAAUGAUCUACCUUCGAGUGGGGAAUAGCUGAGGGAAACCUUAAUUAAUACCGCAUAAUACCCAAGGGUCAAAGCGAGCAAUCGCGCUUGAAGAGGAGUUCGCGGCAGAUUAGUUAGUUGGCGGGGUAAUGGCCCACCAAGACGAUGAUCUGUAUCCGGCCUGAGAGGGCGCACGGACACACUGGAACUGAAACACGGUCCAGACUCCUACGGGAGGCAGCAGUGGGGAAUUUUUGCGCAAUGGGGGAAACCCUGACGCAGCAACGCCGCGUGGAGGAUGAAGUAUCUCGGUACGUAAACUCCUUUCGAUGGGGAAGAUAAUGACGGUACCCAUAGAAGAAGCCCCGGCUAACUUCGCGCCAGCAGCCGC
rnacentral:rRNA from 1 species